CAACUGAAGAGUUUGAUCCUGGCUCAGAGUGAACGCUGGCGGCAUGCCUAACACAUGCAAGUCGAACGGCAGCAUGAUCUGUAGCAAUACAGGUUGAUGGCGAGUGGCGGACGGGUGAGGAACACAUCGGAAUCUGCCCGGUCGUGGGGGAUAACGUAGGGAAACUUACGCUAAUACCGCAUGAGACCGAGAGGUGAAAGCGGGGGAUCGCAAGACCUCGCGCGAUUGGAUGAGCCGAUGUCGGAUUAGCUAGUUGGUGGGGUAAAGGCCUACCAAGGCGACGAUCCGUAGCUGGUCUGAGAGGAUGAUCAGCCACACUGGGACUGAGACACGGCCCAGACUCCUACGGGAGGCAGCAGUGGGGAAUAUUGGACAAUGGGGGCAACCCUGAUCCAGCAAUGCCGCGUGUGUGAAGAAGGCCUUCGGGUUGUAAAGC
rnacentral:rRNA from 1 species